rnacentral:rRNA from 1 species
UACGAAGGGGGCUAGCGUUGUUCGGAAUUACUGGGCGUAAAGCGCAUGUAGGCGGCGAUUUAAGUCGGGGGUGAAAUCCCAGGGCUCAACCCUGGAACUGCCUUCGAUACUAUUUUGCUAGAGUGUGGAAGAGGUUGGUGGAACUGCAAGUGUAGAGGUGAAAUUCGUAGAUAUUUGCAAGAACACCGGUGGCGAAGGCGGCCAACUGGUCCAUUACUGACGCUGAGAUGCGAAAGCGUGGGGAGCAAACAGG